AACUUCCUUCCUGCUAUCCUAAGCACACGCGAUCCCGUCUGAUUUCAGAAGCCAAGCACGGUUGGCGCUGGUUGUACUUGGAUAAAAGAGGCUGCUAAGGGAUUGA
rnacentral:rRNA from 1 species